AUAUGGCCAGCCGCCGCAAUCCCCAAUUUCUCCCAAACGCCGCCUCAGGUUGUCAGGUAAGGGAUACCUUUGCGCGGAUCGGAGAUGGCGCGUGGAUAUCCGGAGGUCGGAAGGAAGCUGCUUACACUGUGGCCAGGUUUGUGGCCGCCGUGAUUGAUCGACGCCAGACGGGCGGGCGGAGGCCACCUUCACCCUGAUAGUCUUCUUCUACCGUCCUCCUCCAUCAUCGCCUUGUUCCUGGUCAAUGCUCUACGCACGCUCCAGAUUCUCCACACUUGCUAUGUACCGGACACUACACACCUCCAAAAAGAUAAACCCAGAAUUUCUGAUAAAAUAAAAAGGCAGCCCAUUUGGGCCUGGAGCUCCAUCAGAACAGCAGCUGAACACAACUUCUCUAACCCCUUCCCCAAAGAAAGACAGGGUGAACGAUCAAGGUCACACCAUCAUGUAUUGCCACCAACGAAGGCAAGAAAACACCACCAUGCAUUGUUUGUUGGGCGACCAGCAGUACGAAAGGUUGGGGCGAGUUUGGAGUUGUUGGAGCAAAGACGGGAGGAGGCAUAUAUUGAUGCAUCCAAAAUAUACAUCAUAUUUCCUAGUGAUUUCAUUGUUGUUUUUUUAGUAAUUAUUGCUCGGCUAACCAUUGAUUAACUUUGAUUUUCACAAGAUAUAUUCUUUUUUGUUAAACCCGCAGGACAAGGGAAAAAUUUCCUAAUUAGUGAAGAAGAAUGUGAAGAUCUCACGAAAAAGAAGCCAACUGUACCAGCCGUGCCUCAAAUAUAGAUUUCAGAAGGUUUGGAGGAGGGGUGUAGUAUGGUCAGCAGUGACCGUAUCACCUAACCGUACCCCCUCCCCCACCGGGUACAUCUUGUCAAACCCAAUAACUUUCAUGAAGGCAGCAGGGUCAAAAGACUUCCAGAGACGGUGCAAAACUUUAUCCCAGCGGUUAUUUAAAGACAACAUCGAUUCACAUCAAAGAGAGCAACCACAUAACCAUCACAAGACACUGAAGGGCCACCGGGAGACCUAGCCACCACCAUUUCCACCAUAGUUCCUCCAUUUUCCAUCUAUUAGAUCCGUUGUAAUAUGUCACAUCUAUCAUUUAUCGAUGUAGACAUUUAUCACAUCAAGGAAGUUAUUAAUCUUUGUCUUUAA